rnacentral:tRNA from 1 species
GGGCGCAUAGCUGGAGAGCACCUGCCUUACAAGCAGGGGGUCACAGGUUCGAGCCCUGUUGUGCCCACCA